AGGAGGGUUGCAGUAUGAGAUUUUACACGAAGUGAGUGGCGGACGGGUGAGUAACACGUGGGUAACCUGCCCAGAAGCAGGGGAUAACACCUGGAAACAGAUGCUAAUACCGUAUAACAGAGAAAACCGCCUGGUUUUCUUUUAAAAGAUGGCUCUGCUAUCACUUCUGGAUGGACCCGCGGCGCAUUAGCUAGUUGGUGAGGUAACGGCUCACCAAGGCGAUGAUGCGUAGCCGACCUGAGAGGGUAAUCGGCCACAUUGGGACUGAGACACGGCCCAGACUCCUACGGGAGGCAGCAGUAGGGAAUCUUCCACAAUGGACGCAAGUCUGAUGGAGCAACGCCGCGUGAGUGAAGAAGGGUUUCGGCUCGUAAAGCUCUGUUGUUAAAGAAGAACGUGGGUGAGAGUAACUGUUCACUCAGUGACGGUAUUUAACCAGAAAGCCACGGCUAACUACGUGCCAGCAGCCGCGGUAAUACGUAGGUGGCAAGCGUUAUCCGGAUUUAUUGGGCGUAAAGCGAGCGCAGGCGGUCUUUUAAGUCUAAUGUGAAAGCCUUCGGCUCAACCGAAGAAGUGCAUUGGAAACUGGGAGACUUGAGUGCAGAAGAGGACAGUGGAACUCCAUGUGUAGCGGUGAAAUGCGUAGAUAUAUGGAAGAACACCAGUGGCGAAGGCGGCUGUCUGGUCUGUAACUGACGCUGAGGCUCGAAAGCAUGGGUAGCGAACAGGAUUAGAUACCCUGGUAGUCCAUGCCGUAAACGAUGAUUACUAAGUGUUGGGAGGGUUUCCGCCCCUUCAGUGCUGCAGCUAACGCAUUAAGUAAUCCGCCUGGGGA
rnacentral:rRNA from 1 species